CAAAUAGCUGUUUGUUAGCUUCACCUUAGCAUGUGUUCUUUGCAGGUGUUUGUUGAGGUUUGAUGACUGAUUUUAGUAAGUAACGAAGUAACGCGUGUCGGGGCAAUGUUAGUAACUGUAGUGUGUGUAACAUAUUGGUGAAUACAAGAUCUUUGAUUACAGAGAUCACGUGGAUGACGUAAGGCAUGUGUGCAUAUUACGCGCCAGUGGAAAUAAAGAUGGACACUCGGAUUGAAAGAAGUGGUCCGCUUCAUCUGUUUAUGUAAACACUUACAUGUUCAUAGAACAGAAUAGUACAUGGUGUCAGAGUUAGUUCAUUUAUCAUCGACCUGACGACGGAAGAUGGAGAACACAGGCAUUCCAACACCACGAAUGGACUGGGACUCGUCUAAUCUGCCGGACGCAUGGAGAAAGUUUCGGCAACAUGUGCAGCUAAUGUUUUCAGGCCCGCUACAUGCUAAAGACGAGGAGGAAAAAUGUAGCUAUCUACUCCUAUGGAUUGGGGGAAAAGGCAGAGAUGUUUUUUAUACAUGGACUCUCACAGAAGACCAAAGUAAGGUGGAAGGCUGAGGUUGCUGCAGCAGAUCAGGAUCAGGAAGUGAACCUCCCAGCUGGGCAACCCUUUAUGCCUUCUUGAGGCUCCGCCUCUAGAUGGGCGGGCACAGACAGGACGACACUCCCAGUACCUACCAGAGGACAGCAAGGCAGGGAGCACAGACAGGCAGAAGGGGGAGGGGUCGUCACAACAUGUUCUUUUGUUUUGUUUUAUUGUUCUGUCUUUUUAUUUAUUUAAGUAUUCCAGUAAUGUAUGUUGCAUGUUUUAAUUUGAUUGUAUUUACUUGUUUAAAUUAAAUUUGUUUUAGGUUCACUUGUAAAAUCUGUCCAGGGACAACAGAUGAAAAAUAGCCUCUUGGCACAUUGACAGGAAUGUUAAUUAAUGUGCACUGUCCCUGUUAAACAAAUGAAUACAUAAAUACAAAUACAAAUAAGUGUAUGCUCCUCAUUUAGGUGAUAAUUCUUUAUCUACAAAGUGUUCGUAUCUUAAAUACUGUUUCAUAGCAAACAAAAAAAUGAAAGAGAUGUUAAAGGAAUUCAGGUUCAUGAGAUAAAGAAAAAGGCUAACCUUCAGUCUUUCAUCCACUUUGAACAGCUUCUGCUGCUUUGUCCUAAAGCAAAAUAUGAAUAGCAAUUAUUUUUACCAAAGUGUUAUUUACUAAUCUUGUAAUGUUUUUCACAUUCCAAGCAAUCACUCAAGAUGACAUACUGUAAUUAGGCAAAGCUUGUUGCUUAAAGUAAACUUGAACAAUGCUGGUUAUAGACUAUAUUUAAUUUCCUGUUGAAAUGUUUUGCCUGCAACUGUAAAUAAAUUAAGUUUAUAUAAGUA